rnacentral:rRNA from 1 species
UACGUAGGGGGCAAGCGUUGUCCGGAUUUAUUGGGCGUAAAGAGCGUGUAGGCGGUUAGGUAGGUCCGUUGUGAAAACUCGAGGCUCAACCUCGAGACGCCGAUGGAAACCAUCUAACUAGAGUCCGGAAGAGGAGAGUGGAAUUCCUGGUGUAGCGGUGAAAUGCGCAGAUAUCAGGAGGAACACCGAUGGCGAAGGCAGGUCUCUGGGCUGUAACUGACGCUGAGGAGCGAAAGCAUGGGGAGCGAACAGG